CCAAGCAGGUAAAAUGGU
rnacentral:siRNA from 1 species